rnacentral:rRNA from 1 species
UACGUAGGGUGCGAGCGUUAAUCGGAAUUACUGGGCGUAAAGCGUGCGUAGGCGGUUCCUCAAGUCCGUUGUGAAAUCCCCGGGCUUAACCUGGGAAUGGCAUUUUGGGACUGCAAGGCUCGAGUGCGGCAGAGGAGACUGGAAUUCCUGGUGUAGCAGUGAAGUGCGUAGAUAUCAGGAGGAACACCGAUGGCGAAGGCAGGUCUCUGGGCUGACACUGACGCUCAGGCACGAAAGCGUGGGGAGCAAACAGG